rnacentral:lncRNA from 1 species
UUUUGGAUAACUUUAUGCUGCUUUACUCCUGGUGCAGAAAUUCAAGCAGUUCAGUUUGGUUUGAUGGCUUGUGAUCAUCCAUCUUCCUUUUGAUUAUAUUUCAGAGGUUUUCAAUUUGGUAAAAUCAAAGAAACUCAAGUUUCUUCAAGUGGUCUCUUAUUUUUUUAUACAAAUGUUCAGUGUUAUAGAAGAUGACCUGGCUGUAAUAAAAGACUAUGUUAAGUUAUGAUAUAUGCAAUUCAACAUGCAUUUUAAUGGUAUUCAUGUAUAAAUGAUAAUUAUUUUAAUGCAAGAUCAUCAGAAAUGGCUGAAAAUGAUGGCACAGCCCACACAGCUCCAGGGCCAGACCUGCUGAGCUCCGCCCCCGUCACCCAGCCCUUCCCUCGCUCCCCGAAAACACAGCGUAAAGCAGCCGCCGCCACAGCCGAGUACACACAGGAGCAGUUGUCGGGGCUGCUGGAGGAGCUGGAGAACGACAGCAGGAAGACAGAAGCUCGAAUGGCAUCUCUGAAGAAACGCCAUGCCAACCUGACUGUAAGUGAUAAUCAGAUAAUUAAUAAAAUAAGAUCAUUUAUACAAUAAAAAAAGGAUUGAUUAAAAUCACAUUUGUUUUGAGUUUCACACAUGUUUAGGCACUGGCAUGUUCAGGAAUGCACAUAAAUGCACUCAAUUAAAAAGCCCCAGCUUUAAUAAGUUAACACCCUGUGGUUUGAAUGUGGUUUUUGAAGCAUAUUUAACCAUAAUUAUUUAGCCACACCCACCCAGAACAACCCCAUCUUCCCAUCUGCCAGGUCUGGUCGGGCUCAAGAAAAUGGCCAAAAAAAGUCUGUGAUGUAGGUGUCUGUUUUUAAUGCUAUAUUUAUUUUAUAUAAAGCUAGGGAGUGAUAAUCACAAUAUAGCAAAGUAACAAAUCAAAGUGGAGUUUUAUAUCGUAAAUUUGGGAGUUUGAGCCACGCUCUUACUCCUCCCACUCUCCAACCUAUACAAACCGUCACUUCCUCUCUACCUGCGUGUCGAACAACCUUGCACCCACCUCCUCCCCAUCUUCCUCCUUCAUUUAUUUCUCCCUUUCUCUUCCCCUAUCUUUUUGUGUGGGGGGGGCUUCAGCUUCAUGCUUUUCCAGCAAAGCUGCCCUGAACUCCUGCCCAAUCAUCUGAGUUCGCCCCCCCUCUCUUUUCCUUCUCUUCAGUCAAGGGCGUGGGGAAAUAUACUAGCAAACUGUGUUUUAAAAUAAAAGUUACACAACUUAGAAUGUUAUAAUGACA